rnacentral:rRNA from 1 species
AAUGGGGGAAACCCUGACGCAGCAACGCCGCGUGGGCGACGAAGGUCUUCGGAUCGUAAAGCCCUGUCUUCUGGGACGAUAAUGACGGUACCAGAGGAGGAAGCCACGGCUAACUACGUGCCAGCAGCCGCGGUAAUACGUAGGUGGCAAGCGUUGUCCGGAUUUACUGGGCGUAAAGGGUGCGUAGGCGGAUAUUUAAGUGGGAUGUGAAAUACCUGAGCUCAACUCGGGUGCUGCAUUCCAAACUGGAUAUCUAGAGUGCAGGAGAGGAGAAUGGAAUUCCUAGUGUAGCGGUGAAAUGCGUAGAGAUUAGGAAGAACACCGGUGGCGAAGGCGGCUCUCUGGACCGAUACUGACGCUGAGACGCGAAAGCGUGGGUAGCAAA